GCGGGCAUGGUCUAGCGGUCAAGAUGGCAGGAUCCCACCCUGCCGAUGCGGGUUCGACUCCCGCUGCUCGCU
rnacentral:tRNA from 2 species